GACGAACGCUGGCGGCGUGCCUAAUACAUGCAAGUCGAGCGAGUCUGCCUUGAAGAUCGGAGUGCUUGCACUCUGUGAAACAAGAUACAGGCUAGCGGCGGACGGGUGAGUAACACGUGGGUAACCUGCCCAAGAGAUCGGGAUAACACCUGGAAACAGAUGCUAAUACCGGAUAACAACAGAUGAUGCCUAUCAACUGUUUAAAAGAUGGUUCUGCUAUCACUCUUGGAUGGACCUGCGGUGCAUUAGCUAGUUGGUAGGGUAACGGCCUACCAAGGCGAUGAUGCAUAGCUGAGUUGAGAGACUGAUCGGCCACAUUGGGACUGAGACACGGCCCAAACUCCUACGGGAGGCAGCAGUAGGGAAUCUUCCACAAUGGACGCAAGUCUGAUGGAGCAACGCCGCGUGAGUGAAGAAGGGUUUCGGCUCGUAAAGCUCUGUUGUUGGUGAAGAAGGACAGGGGUAGUAACUGACCUUUGUUUGACGGUAAUCAAUGAGAAAGUCACGGCUAACUACGUG
rnacentral:rRNA from 1 species